rnacentral:rRNA from 1 species
GUGAGGAAUAUUGGACAAUGGGCGCAAGCCUGAUCCAGCCAUGCCGCGUGCAGGAAGACGCAUCUAUGGUGUGUAAACUGCUUUUGUACGGGAAGAAACACUCCCUCGUGAGGGAGCUUGACGGUACCGUAAGAAUAAGGAUCGGCUAACUCCGUGCCAGCAGCCGCGGUAAUACGGAGGAUCCAAGCGUUAUCCGGAAUCAUUGGGGUUAAAGGGUCCGUAGGCGGUUUAAUAAGUCAGUGGUGAAAGCCCAUCGCUCAACGAUGGAACGGCCAUUGAUACUGUGAGACUUGAAUUACAAGGAAGUAACUAGAAUAUGUAGUGUAGCGGUGAAAUGCUUAGAUAUUACAUGGAAUACCAAUUGCGAAGGCAGGUUACUACUUGUGGAUUGACGCUGAUGGACGAAAGCGUGGGGAGCGAACAGGAUUAGAUACCCCAGUAGUCC